AUGAACGCUGGCGGCGUGCCUAAUCCCUGCCAGUCGAGCGAACAGACGAGGAGCUUGCUCCUCUGACGUUAGCGGCGGACGGGUGAGUAACACGUGGAUAACCUACCUAUAAGACUGGGAUAACUUCGGGAAACCGGAGCUAAUACCGGAUAAUAUAUUGAACCGCAUGGUUCCAUAGUGAAAGACGGUUUUGCUGUCACUUAUAGAUGGAUCCGCGCCGCAUUAGCUAGUUGGUAAGGUAACGGCUUACCAAGGCAACGAUGCGUAGCCGACCUGAGAGGGUGAUCGGCCACACUGGAACUGAGACACGGUCCAGACUCCUACGGGAGGCAGCAGUAGGGAAUCUUCCGCAAAGGGCGAAAGCCUGACGGAGCAACGCCGCGUGAGUGAUGAAGGUCUUCGGAUCGUAAAACUCUGUUAUUAGGGAAGAACAAAUGUGUAAGUAACUAUGCACGUCUUGACGGUACCUAAUCAGAAAGCCACGGCUAACUACGUG
rnacentral:rRNA from 1 species